rnacentral:rRNA from 1 species
UGGGGAAUAUUGCACAAUGGGCGCAAGCCUGAUGCAGCCAUGCCGCGUGUAUGAAGAAGGCCUUCGGGUUGUAAAGUACUUUCAGCGAGGAGGAAGGCGUUGUGGUUAAUAACCGCAACGAUUGACGUUACUCGCAGAAGAAGCACCGGCUAACUCUGUGCCAGCAGCCGCGGUAAUACAGAGGGUGCAAGCGUUAAUCGGAAUUACUGGGCGUAAAGCGCGCGUAGGUGGUUUGUUAAGUUGGAUGUGAAAGCCCCGGGCUCAACCUGGGAACUGCAUCCGAAACUGGCAGGCUAGAGUCUUGUAGAGGGGGGUAGAAUUCCAGGUGUAGCGGUGAAAUGCGUAGAGAUCUGGAGGAAUACCGGUGGCGAAGGCGGCCCCCUGGACAAAGACUGACGCUCAGGUGCGAAAGCGUGGGGAGCAAACA